UCCCUAGUCAGCCUUGCUCAAACUCUCGACAUCGCUCUCUUUCUCUCGCUCGCCCAAACACCGGGUUUAGAUCGAUACAUUCAUCUGGCCUUCGCGAUUUCUAUUCUUCAAUUUAUGUUCUUUGCGAUUUCUUCUUAUGAUCGAUGCCUUCAAUAUCAUUUGGAAUUCUGUUCUUCGCGAUUUCUUCAAAGUUGUUGCUGUGGAUUGCAAUUGAAUUCCUUUAGAUUGUGUUUAUUGAGAGAUUCUCUGAGAGCAGUGGAUUUGGGCCAAGGUUUUCCCCUUCUCUCUUUCAUUCUUCUUCUGAUUCGGG